rnacentral:rRNA from 1 species
UACGGAGGGGGCUAGCGUUGUUCGGAAUUACUGGGCGUAAAGCGCACGUAGGCGGCUUUGUAAGUUAGAGGUGAAAGCCCGGGGCUCAACUCCGGAACUGCCUUUAAGACUGCAUCGCUAGAAUUGUGGAGAGGUAAGUGGAAUUCCGAGUGUAGAGGUGAAAUUCGUAGAUAUUCGGAAGAACACCAGUGGCGAAGGCGACUUACUGGACACAUAUUGACGCUGAGGUGCGAAAGCGGUGGGGAGCAAACAGG